rnacentral:rRNA from 1 species
ACGAACGCUGGCGGCGUGCCUAAUACCUGCAAGUAGAACGCUGAAGGAGGAGCUUUCUCUUCUGGAUGAGUUGCGAACGGGUGAGUAACGCGUAGGUAACCUGCCUGGUAGCGGGGGAUAACUAUUGGAAACGAUAGCUAAUACCGCAUAAGAGUAGAUGUUUCAUGACAUUUACUUAAAAGGUUCAAUUGCAUCACUACCAGAUGGACCUGCGUUGUAUUAGCUAGUUGGUGGGGUAACGGCUUACCAAGGCGACGAUACAUAGCCGACCUGAGAGGGUGAUCGGCCACACUGGGACUGAGACACGGCCCAGACUCCUACGGGAGGCAGCAGUAGGGAAUCUUCGGCAAUGGACGGAAGUCUGACCGAGCAACGCCGCGUGAGUGAAGAAGGUUUUCGGAUCGUAAAGCUCUGUUGUAAGAGAAGAACGAGUGUGAGAGUGGAAAGUUCACACUGUGACGGUAUCUUACCAGAAAGGGACGGCUAACUACGUG